rnacentral:rRNA from 1 species
AUGGGCAGAGAUUCAGAGGAUGAAGACCCUAGAUCUGAGAGGAACGUAGAGAAUUUGGUGUGGCAAGCUAAGACAGGGAAGAGGGAUGAAGGGGGAGAGAUCGCAAGGAUGGCCUGUGAUGAUGCAGAAGGUGCUGUGCUGGAAAAAGAUAGGAGCAAAAAUCAGAUAUCUCAGCCAGAUCAGCAGCAGCAGCAAUUGCUCUUGACUUUGCUGCUUUCUCAGCUGGUGCAAGGGAUGAAAAGCAGUGAGAAGAACCAGAUGGAGGGCCUGGUUGGAAAUCAAAUUGGAAAUUUGCUUGGGAAAGAGAGUCAAAGGAAAGAGGAGGGAGGAACUGUUGGACAACAAAGGGUUGACAAGGUGGCUGAACAUGGAUCUGGACUGGGAAUGAAGAAGCAGGGGGUAGAAGUAGUUGGCAGCAAGGUUAUGAGGAAAACAAGAAAAACUUUGAUAGGUUUAGCAAACAGGUUUGUGGUAAGUGUAAAGAUCCUAGACACACCACUAAGGACUACAGGGUGGGGCAUUGCUUGA